rnacentral:rRNA from 1 species
GACGGUACCUUAUUAGAAAGCCACGGCUAACUACGUGCCAGCAGCCGCGGUAAUACGUAGGUGGCAAGCGUUGUCCGGAAUUAUUGGGCGUAAAGCGCGCGCAGGCGGUCCUUUAAGUCUGAUGUGAAAGCCCACGGCUCAACCGUGGAGGGUCAUUGGAAACUGGGGGACUUGAGUGCAGAAGAGGAAAGUGGAAUUCCAAGUGUAGCGGUGAAAUGCGUAGAGAUUUGGAGGAACACCAGUGGCGAAGGCGACUUUCUGGUCUGUAACUGACGCUGAGGCGCGAAAGCGUGGGGAGCAAACAGGAUUAGAUACCCUGGUAGUCCACGCCGUAAACGAUGAGUGCUAAGUGUUAGGGGGUUUCCGCCCCUUAGUGCUGCAGCUAACGCAUUAAGCACUCCGCCUGGGGAGUACGGUCGCAAGACUGAAACUCAAAGGAAUUGACGGGGGCCCGCACAAGCGGUGGAGCAUGUG